CUGGCGCCGUGAGGCAGCUACUCUGCCGUUGGGCUCCUGUCCUGCCAAGCUGGAGCAGGUUUUUACCAGGGUAUUGCCAGGACUCUUGUGUGUAAACAACUUGCCUCCUCCGCACAUCUCCUUUAAACUUUGCCCCUCUCAGCUUAAAGCCCUGCCCUCUGGUCUCGUUCAUAGUUCCUGUUGCUCUUUGCAGUUGCAGCUGCCUGGAGCCUCUGGGUGGGAAGAAGAGAGACUCACAGAGGGGGCAGGCAGUUUCAUUUUCAUUUUCACUUUCACUUUCACUUCUCGCCUGUGCUCUCUCCGCCACAGUCAUCAGUCAGCCUGUGGCUAUUCCACUCUGUAAGAUGAAGAGGCAGGAUGAGGCCCAGCUCGGCGCAGGCUGUUGCGCCCAGCAACCAGAAGAGACUUUGCAACGGUCAAAGAAGAUCCAAGUCCUCAAUGUCCCUGCGAUCCUUCCCGAGCAGCGGACAUUGGACAAGCUGAUCAUUCAUUUCCAGGCACGGGGCAAUGGAGGAGGCGAGGUGUUGGAUAUGGAAUACCCAACCACAGUUGCUGGCCGUGCCUUCAUCACCUUUGCCAAAGAGGAAGAUGCAGAUAAUGUCCUUAAACGGGAACAAAUACUGAAAUUAGACCAGCAGGACUAUAAACUGGAUGUACGCGAGGUUGGAGGAGGGGAGACCACAUCUGAUACUGUACAGGUCAUAGAGUUUGUCAGCACUAAACUGGACACAAGAGAUUACCCCUCAAAGACGGCUCGACAGUUAAUUCACGAACACCGCUUUCAAAUUGUUAGUGACCAGGGAUCUAUGGUUGUGAUCCGAGGGUCUUUCUCCUCGUUAAAGGAACUUCGGAGAAAACUCACGGACCUGAUUGUGCCUCAGUCGACACGUGCAGUCACAGGGAGUAGAACAUAGAAGAGUACAGCAUGAGAACAGGCCCUUCAGCCCACAAUGUGUGUGCCGAACAUCGACGGUUCAAUGGUUAUUCCCACUUCGUAAUUCAGUUCAGUUUAAUUUAUUGUCACGUGUACCGAACUUAUUUUGCACGCAGAACAGUGGGGUUAAUGUCAUGCAUGUACAAUUGCCAGCCGGUUAAGUACAGGAUGUAUAGAAACUGCCCACUGAGGCCAUAUGCCAAGAGUCGCCUGGUUUAGAGCCAUUUUAUCAUCCCAAACUGAUUUUGUAAAAUAAAUUACCCUUCCUACCGAUAUCUUUAAGAAAGAACUGCAGAUGCUGGGAAAAAAAUCGAAGGUAGACAAAAAUGAGGCAGCAUCUAUGGAGUGAAGGAAAUAGGUGACGUUUCGGGUCGAGACCCAACUUCAGACUGAUGUGGGGGCGGGAAGAAGAAAGGAAAAGGUGGAGACUUUGGGCUGUAGGUCAACACUUCAACUCCCCCUCCCAUUCCGAAUCCGACCUUUCUGUCCUGGGCCUCCUCCAUGGCCAGAGUGAGUCCCACCGCCAAUUGGAGGAGCAGCACCUCAUAUUUCGCUUGGGCAGUUUAUACCCCAGCGGUAUGAACAUUGACUUCUCCAAUUUCAGGUAGUCCCUCCUUUCUCCCUCCUUCCCCUCCCCUUCCCAGCUCUCCCACAGCCCACUGUCUCCGCCUCUUCCUUUCUUCUUCCCAUCCCCCCCCCCCCUCCUCCCCACAUCAGUCUGAAGAAGGGUCCCGACCCGAAACGUCACCUAUUCAUUCGCUCCAUAGAUGCUGCCUCACCCGCUGAGUUCUCCAGCAUUUUUGUCUAUCUGUUCACUGAUAUGGUGCUUACUGUUACCUUGUCUGGGUAGGUUCAGUUUUAUUGCAGUCAUGUGUACUGAGGUACAGUGAAAAGCUUUGUUCAGCAUGCCCUCACACCAUAUAAUACACAUACAUAAACACAAUCGUAGAAACAUAGACAAUAGGUGCAGGAGUAGGCCAUUCGGCCCUUCCAGCCAGCACCGCCAUUCAAUGUGAUCAUGGCUGAUCAUCCCCAAUCAGUACCCCGUUCCUACCUUCUGCCCAUAUCCCCUGGCUUCGCUAUCUUUAAGAGCCCUAUCUAGCUCUCUCUUGAAAGUAUCCAGAGAACCGGCCUCCACCGCCCCCUGAGGCAGAGAAUUCCACAGACUCACAACUCUCUGUGUGAAGAAAUGUUUCCUCAUCUCUGUUCUAAAUGGCUUAUCCCUUAUUCUUAAACUGUGGGCCCUGGUUCUGGACUCCCCCAAACAUUGGGAACAUGUUUCCUGCCUCUAGCAUGUCCAACCCCUUAAUAAUCUUAUGUGUUUCAAUGAGAUCCACUCUCACCCUACCAAACUCUGGAGUGUACAAGCCCAGCCGCUCCAUUCUCUCAGCAUAUGACAGUCCCGCCAUCCCGGGAAUUAACCUGGCGAACCUACGCUGCACUCCAUCAAUAGCAAGAAUGUCCUUCCUCAAAUUUGGAGACCAAAACUGCACACAAUACUCCAGGUGUGGUCUCACUAGGGCCCUGUACAACUGCAGAGAUGCCGCCUGUCCCGC